AUACGUAGGUGGCAAGCGUUAUCCGGAUUUACUGGGCGUAAAGCGAGCGCAGGCGGUUUUUUAAGUCUGAUGUGAAAGCCUUCGGCUUAACCGAAGAAGGGCAUCGGAAACUGGGAGACUUGAGUGCAGAAGAGGAGAGUGGAACUCCAUGUGUAGCGGUGAAAUGCGUAGAUAUAUGGAAGAACACCAGUGGCGAAGGCGGCUCUCUGGUCUGUAACUGACGCUGAGGCUCGAAAGCGUGGGUAGC
rnacentral:rRNA from 1 species